GGUUCUAUAGUCUAGUGGUUAGGACGUUCGGUUUUGAGUCAAAGGGGCUUUAAACCUCCUAAAAACACACCCCUUCGAUGGGGUGAAGAACACUCUCCGAAAAUCGCCGGUUCGAACCCGGCUAGGACCU
rnacentral:tRNA from 1 species